GGCGCUUUAGCUCAGUUGGAUAGAGCAACUGCCUUCUAAGCAGUGGGUCGGCGGUUCGAAUCCGCCAUGCGUCA
rnacentral:tRNA from 1 species